GUGCUCACUUCGGCGGCACAUGUACUAAAAUUGAAACUAUACAGAGAAGAUUAGCAUGGC
rnacentral:snRNA from 1 species